GCAGUUUGAUUUUAGCUGAAAUAUUAACUACAUAAUCCCGCUACAUGUAAGUACACGCCCUAAACUUCACACUAAAGGUCAAAUAUACUAAAUAAAGAUCCCUUGAAAUACCGACACAGUAGGCAAAUCUCCAAAUUUAAGAAAUUAAGAAGGGGGGAAUUAUAUAUAGAACUAGCAAAACUCGUGCCAGCCGCUGCGGUUAGACGACAAAUUCAAGUUAAUACACCACUAAUUAUACAAAGAGUAAUUAAACAGCCCAAAGGUCUAAUUUCCACCGCCCGUACGCCCACACCCUCAACCAGAUACGUGAAAGCAUUAACCUAAAACACGGAUUAGAUACCCGUCUAUUUAUGCCAUAAAUAAAUAAUUGAACAAUACGGUCAAAAGACUAAAAAUCAAAAAAUUUGGCGGUGUUUCAUCAAACCAGGGGAACCUGUCCCAUAAAUCGAUAAUCCACGAACAAUUUACCUUCUAUAGCCAAUGAGCAGCCUGUGUACUGCCGUCGCAAGCUAACCUUUAAAAGAAAGUUAGCAAACAUACCCCAUAACUACGUCAGGUCAAAGUGCAGCCAAUAAGUAGGAGGAACGAUGGGUUACAACCUAUAUAUAGAUAACGCACCAGAGUUAAAAAAAUUCUAUAAAGGUGGACUUGGAUGUAAUUCAAGCAACAAUGCCAAAAUUAAUACAGAUCUGAAACAUGUACACAUCGCCCGUCACUCCUCCCUAAAGGGAGGAUAAGUCGUAACAUAGCUGGCGUAAUGGAAAUUGCGCCCA
rnacentral:ncRNA from 1 species